GUGCAGCAGGCGCGAAAACUCUGCAAUGUGCGAAAGCACGACAGGGGAACUCCGAGUGUCCGUACCUAGUACGGACUGUUCAGAUGCCUAAAAAGCAUCUGGAGUAAGGGCUGGGUAAGACGGGUGCCAGCCGCCGCGGUAAUACCCGCAGCCCGAGUGGUGGCCACUUUUAUUGGGUCUAAAGGGUCCGUAGCCGGUCUAGCAAGUCUUUUGGGAAAUCUGGCCGCUCAACGGUCAGGCUUCUAAGAGAUACUACUAGGCUUGGGAUCGGGUGAGGCAAGGGGUACUCCAGGUGUAGCGGUGAAAUGCUGUGAUCCCUGGGGGACCACCAGCGGCGAAGGCGCCUUGCCAGAACGAGUCCGACGGUGAGGGACGAAAGCUAGGGGCGCAAACGGGAUUAGAUAUGAAGUUGAGUUUUUACCAGCUUCACUAGAAACCCCGGUAGUCC
rnacentral:rRNA from 1 species